UCCUAGCCCCGAUUGACGCUUUGUUUGAGCUCCUUUUUGUUUUUUUCUUUUAAAAAAAUAAAAAGAGCGAGUGCGGAAAGCGGGAAAUAGC
rfam:Tenacibaculum dicentrarchi strain AY7486TD, complete genome.